UACGAAGGGGGCUAGCGUUGCUCGGAUUCACUGGGCUUAAAGGGCGCGUAGGCGGGUGACCAAGUCCGGGGUGAAAUCUUUCGGCUCAACCGGAAAAGUGCCUUGGAUACUGGUCGUCUCGAGGGAGGUAGGGGCAUGCGGAACUUCCGGUGGAGCGGUGAAAUGCGUAGAUAUCGGAAGGAACGCCGGUGGCGAAAGCGGCGUGCUGGACCGACACUGACACUGAGAGACGAAAGCUAGGGGAGCGAAUGGG
rnacentral:rRNA from 1 species